GUGUGAUGGUGUGUCAUUCA
rnacentral:siRNA from 1 species